rnacentral:rRNA from 1 species
AGAACGAACGCUGGCGGCAUGCCUAACACAUGCAAGUCGAACGCUUCCGGGGCUUCGGUCGCGGAGGAGUGGCGCACGGGUGAGUAGCGCGUGGGAACCUGCCCUGUUGUGGGGGAUAACCGAGGGAAACUUCGGCUAAUACCGCAUACGCCCCGGGACUUGGUCUUCGGAUUAGGUCUGGGGGGAAAGAUUGAUCGCAGCAGGAGGGGCCCGCGUCGGAUUAGCUGGUUGGUGGGGUAACGGCUCACCAAGGCGAUGAUCCGUAGCUGGUCUGAGAGGAUGAUCAGCCACACUGGGACUGAGACACGGCCCAGACUCCUACGGGAGGCAGCAGUGGGGGAAUAUUGGACAAUGGGGGCAACCCUGAUCCAGCAAUGCCGCGUGAGUGAUGAAGGCCUUAGGGUUGUAAAGCUCUUUCGCCCGCGACGAUGAUGACGGUAGCGGGAGAAGAAGCCCCGGCUAACUUCGUGCCAGCAGCCGC